GCGGGUGAGUAACGCGUAAGAAUCUGCCCUUCAGUGAGGAAUACCCUCGAGAAAUCGAGUUUAAUACUGCAUAAUUCCCUCCGGGGAUAAAGGUGGCUUUAAUGCUGCCGCUGAAGGAUGAGCUUGCGUACUAUUAGCUAGUUGGUAGGGUAAAGGCCUACCAAGGCGAUGAUGGUUAGCCGGCCUGAGAGGGUGUACGGCCACACUGGAACUUAGACACGGUCCAGACUCCUACGGGAGGCAGCAGUGAGGAAUAUUGCGCAAUGGGCGAAAGCCUGACGCAGCGACGCCGCGUGGAGGAUGAAGGUCUUCGGAUUGUAAACUCCUGUUAAGUGGGAAGAAAUACCUUCUUUUAAUAGAAGAAGGGGAUGACGGUACCAUUAUAGAAAGCACCGGCUAAACUCGUGCCAGCAGCCGCGGUAAUACGAGUGGUGCAAGCGUUAUUCGGAAUUACUGGGCGUAAAGGGUGUGUAGGUGGUAUAUUAAGUCAGCUGUUAAAUCCUCCGGCCUAACCGGAGUCCAGCAGCAGAUACUGAUAUGCUUGAGACUGGAAGAGAGAAGUGGAAUUCUCGGA
rnacentral:rRNA from 1 species